AGAAUAAUUUCGGGGAUAGACGUUCUUGCGAAGAACUCUUUGACGAAUUACGAAGCGUGACCUUUAGAACAAACACUUUAGAUUUUUACAACGACAUGAAAACCAGGUUACACAGGUUAAAUAACAAAUUAGUAACCAUUUUAGGAGAAACCGAAGCAACUAGAGAGAGUGCGAUGAACAACAAGCGCACUGCCCUCAAUAUCUUUAAAAACAAACUUCCUGAACCAAUGAAAUCAAUCCUUUUCUGUAGGAACCCAGAAGACUUGGAAAAUGCUAUGGACAUACUGUUCCAAGCCGGGUACGCACAUACAGGGAACAAUAACGUGAACAACAGCACAGAAUUUAAAACUCAUUCAAGUAAUAGGAAUACUGACUAUAGAAACAAUACACAAUACAAUAAAAAAGACAGUAGGAAUAGAACACAAUACGGGAAUUCCCAACAACUACUCAACAGAAGGAAUUUCCAACCAAUGCCCCAAAAUAACGGAAGAAAUUACCAACAAUCCCAGCCAUACCAACAAGCAAACCCACAAAACCCUUCCUUCCAGAGACCAAAUUUCAGAAACCAACCGGAACCUAUGGACAUAGGAAAAAUAGAAGUGGCUGAAAAUUUUCAGGAAUCAGCCUCAAGAAUAAAUUACCAUUUAUAAUAAUAAAAACAAAGAUAGGUUUUAUAAGACUUAUAAUAGACACAGGGACCCCAAAGGAAUUCAUCCAACUAGCCCACUUUUAAUUAAAACUCUCCAACAUCGAAUUUACGUUGACAAAAAGGCAAUAGUACCCAUGUUUGAAGAAUUUAGCGACAUUGGAACUAAUAAACCAAUAGAGUUUUAUAUAAUAAAAUUUCAUAACUUUUUUGACGCUCUAAUAGGUAACGAUAUAUUGAGUCCACUAAAUGCCUGUAUCGAUUAUAAAAAGAACGAAAAAAAGAUCGGUAACAAGACACUCCCUAUGCACUUCGAAAACGAAAACUUAAAUGAAAGAAAGAUAGUAGUACCAGAUGACUCUGACCUAGUAUAUUAUAAGGAAGAAAACAGCGGAAACAUUGUAAGAGAGGGAAUUUUAAAUGUAAGAAAUCAAGAAGCAAAGAUAAACUUACUAUCUGAAACCAAUCGGGUGACUACGCAAAAAGUAGAUCACGAAAAUUUUAACAUAAUCGAAAAUAAAGAAUCUAAACCAUUGGCUGACCAAAUUAGAAUAGGGCACUUGAACCCCGAGGAAAGGUCACAAUUGUUGCAAAUAAUAAAAGAAUAUCGUAAUAUUUUUUACCAGGAAAAUGAAGGACUUUCAUUUACUUCAGCAAUAAAACAUAGAAUUAAAACUACAAACAACAUACCUAUAUUUUCUAAGUCAUAUAGGUACCCAUACGUACAUAAGGAAGAAGUCACAGAUCAAAUCCAAGAAAUGUUAAAACACGGGAUAAUUAGGAAUAGCAAUUCUCCCUACUCAGCCCCAAUUUGGAUCGUGCCAAAGAAGGCCGAUGCCAGCGGGAAACCAAAGUGGAGACUUGUAAUCGACUAUCGUAAACUGAACGAAGUAACGAUCGAUGACAAGUUUCCCAUCCCGAACAUAAACGAGAUUCUUGAAAAACUGGGAAGAAGCCAGUACUUCACCACACUCGAUCUGGCGAAGGGUCUCAACCAAAUCGAGAUAGAGGAAGUAGACAUCCACACAUUCACUUAGACUUAUAUUCGCAAGAUUACAGGAGGCAAAUUUAAAAGUCCAGCUAGAUAAAUCAGAAUUUCUAAAAAAGGAAACAGAGUUCCUUGGGCACAUAAUUACAACGGAAGGAGUCAAGCGCAAUCCUAAAAAGAUAGAAUGCGUUGUUAACUUCCCAAUACCCAAAACAGCAAAACAGAUCAAGCAAUUCUUAGGGCUCACAGGCUACUACAGGAAGUUCAUAAAGGACUACUCGGCUAUAGCUAAACCAAUGACUAGGUGCUUAAAGAAAGAAUCACAGAUAAAUAUAAAUGAUUCGGACUACGAAAAAAGUUUUAACACCCUCAAGACCCUACUAACACAUGAUCCAAUAUUAACAUACCCAGACUUUUCUAAAACAUUUACAUUGACAACGGACGCGAGUAAUUACGCUUUGGGAGCGGUACUUUCGCAAGAUAAUCAUCCAAUAUGCUACGCCAGUCGCACCCUUAAUACGCAUGAAACAAAUUAUAGCACAAUAGAGAAGGAAUUAUUGGCAAUCGUAUGGGCUACAAAAUAUUUUAGGCCAUACCUUUUUGGUCGUAAGUUUAUAAUAGAGACAGAUCACAAGCCACUGACAUGGCUCUUUUCUAUAAAGGAACCAAAUUCAAAACUUGUUAGGUGAAGAUUAAGAUUAUCUGAAUACGAUUAUGAUAUUAGGUACAAGAAAGGAAUAAAGAAUAAUAAUGCCGACGCUUUGUCAAGGAUUGAAAUUGAACCCAGCAUUAAUACACUAGAGUGCGACACGGGAACGAUAAAAAGUACUACUUCACCAAUUAAUAUGUUUAAAAAUCAAGUAGUUAUAAUAAAAACUACCUCUGGAUCAUUAAGAAUAAAAAAUAAAUCUGUUUUUAAAAAUAAAAGAAGAAUAAUUUCUAUGAAGGAAAUGGACAGGGAAACAGCAAUUACAAUACUAAAGAAUCAUUUUAAUCCAACACAACUGAAUGCUAUUUUUAUCGAAGACGAAUUUUAUACUAUGUUUACGAAGAACUAUUUUAAAAUAACCCAAAUUUUAAAGUACUUAGAUCUACACUCAUGACGGAAGACAUAGAAGACGAAAAUCGAUUAACUGAAAUUAUUAAAAACGAACAUCUUGACAAAAACCAUAGAGGAAUUCAGGCAGUAUAUAAAGAAUUAAUUACGCGAAUUUACAAUCCUAAAUUAAAACAAAGGAUAACUCAGUUCAUAAAUAACUGUGAAAUUUGUAACUUAGAAAAAUACGAUAGGAAACCCCCGAAGAUCCCUUACAAAAUUACAGAAACUCCAUCCAAACCUCUGGAAACAUUACAUAUAGACGUAUUUUAUACUUUAGAUGAUUAAAUGGAUCAUAAUGAUGGCAACACUUACCCCAACAUUCAAGACUCAAACCAUCGACCUACAGGACGUAUCGAACAAUAAUGGAUACAUACCGAUAAAAACAGGAGAGACUAAAACUGUAGAACACUACAUAAAAGUGCUACACAUAAUAAACACCACAGAAUACGAACGAACUAUGGAAAUAAUCAAAACCAACAUUGACAUCCUAAAGAUAUCCAGCAGCGAAUCAAAAAAAUUAAUAAAUACAAUAAAUAUUUAUGCUAUUAAGAGCAAAAAUAGAAAACCUUAACCCACAUUUCCGAAGGAAACGGGCUCUCUUAAACAUUAUAGGAAAGGGUCUAAAAAUUAUUACAGGUACAAUGGACAGUGACGAUGAAGAACAAAUAACUAAAACUCUUAAAUUACUACAUACGAACGAUGAAAACUUAACUAACGAAAUGAACAAACUAACCUAUAUAAACAAUGUCAUGAACUCCCAAAUCCAGAAUAUAACUAACCACAUAAACUAUCAGCAAAACAUUAUCGGGGACUACUUAAACAAAGUCAAGAAUAUUAUAGGGAAUAAAAUUUCAACCAUAGAGGACGAGAUAACAUUUAUAGAGCACAUAUACCAGAUCAACAACAUCUCACUCCUACGGCAUCACGUAGACGACAUAGGACAGAUUAUUUUCUCCGGGAAACUGGGAAUCAUCCCCACAGAUAUUCUCAGCCAAACCGAACUCGAAUUAAUCACAGACUUCGACAGUUAUACUAAUAUUAAAGUAGCCAUAGCACUUCACGAAGGUAAUAUUAUAAAUAAUUCUCUCUAUACCACAAUAUUCGCAAGAUUCACUAUCCAUGGUGACAUUCGUACCCAUUCCUGACAAAAAUAAUAAAUCCAUAAAGGUUAUCCACUCUGAUGUUCUCAUUGAUUCAGAAAGCAAUAUUUAUAGCACAUAUAUUAAAGAUAAUCUAAAAAGAAACAAACAAAAUACUAAACUUUGAAGAAGCUAAUUGCAAAAUGCAAACAUUAAAUACACAAGAGAUAAGCGAAAUAAUUCCUGGAGUACUAAUUCUUAAACAUUUUAACAGCACAAUAUCCCAUAACUGCAACAAAGCUAAAUUAAACAUUUCAGGAAAUUACUUAAUCAAAUUCGAAAAUUGUGAAAUAAACGCGUUAAACAAGACUUUUACAAAUGUCAAAUUAAAAUACAAGACAAGUUUAUUCUACCUAAUAUCAUUACAAAAAUUAAAGACAAUAGUAAUACAA